GCAUGUUUUGAUUUGAGAUCUGACCCACAAAUGUGGUCCUGUCUCAGUGUACGACAUGCCACAUCAACUUGACUCCGAACCAUUGGCUGGUUCAAGACAAUGGACCUGAUCACUGAAGCGAGUCAGACACUU